UACAGAGGUCUCAAGCGUUUGUUCGGAUUCAUUGGGCGUAAAGGGUGCGUAGGCGGCGCGGUAAGUCGGGUGUGAAAUCUUGGAGCUUAACUCCGAAACUGCAUUCGAUACUGCCGUGCUUGAGGACUGGAGAGGAGACUGGAAUUUACGGUGUAGCGGUGAAAUGCGUAGAUAUCGUAAGGAAGACCAGUGGCGAAGGCGGGUCUCUGGACAGUUCCUGACGCUGAGGCACGAAGGUCAGGGGGAGCAAACGGGG
rnacentral:rRNA from 1 species